CACUGCGCUUCACAGGAGAAUCAUUUCUAUAGUAUUUGUCCUCUUUUGUGUUCCCUAAAGGAGCCACAGAUCCCACCCGGGUUGAUGAACUAUAUCCUCGUUUCCCAACAGUGAGGUCCCUUUAUUUUACUCUCGCUCUGCCUGCAAAGGUGGCGAUCUUGCUUUACUGCAAGAUUGUAUAGAGAGUGGCGAUGAUCUGUACCCCGAUUUUUCUCAAGGUCUGCCUUCGGGCGCUUGGGCGGGGUGGGUUUCGAUGGAAGUCUGACCGGC
rnacentral:snoRNA from 1 species